GCGCAGAUCCGGUUCCCGGGUGACCACUCUGUCGCCAUUGGGCGAGACCUACCUAGUCCUGACGACAACGGACAAAGGCCUUAAGGGGCCUGAAAGGGAACAAGAUGUGGAGGUUGAAGACAGUAAUAUUGAUAAUCCUGACCCUGAUUAGGCUGAGCAACCUCCAGUCCUGCAAGCUUCAUUCCUGAAUGGUAGAAAGCAGUCUUCAGCCUGAGACCCAUCCCUAGACUCUAUGGCACAAAGAGGCACUACAGAAAAUCCCAGAAUUUAUUCUGACUGAAGCAAUAUGCAACUGGCAAAACUGGCAGCUGAAAGGAUCCUGAAUAAGAAGGAUUUUAAAUGCCGUUUUGGCACAGGAUGUCAGAGCACAAGCAUGGUGAAGAGGAAUCUGUGUCAGGAAGAAGGUGGAAGAGAUAUGACAUUGGUCAAACAGAGAAUUGAUAAAAUAAGAAAACAAGUUGAAAAACUAAAACAAAACCAGGUGCCAAAUUUCUCAAAGCCAGAGAAUGGAUUAAAAAUAUGGAAUGGAAAUAAACAAGUAUGAAGCCUGAUGAUUAAACUGGAUGUAUCAGUAAUGAAAUCAUGGAAUCUAAAAAAAAUCAAUAUAAAUGUAUGUAUGCAUAUAUGGAGAGAGAGAGACAGAGAAACAGACAGAGGGAGAGGCCAAGCAACUGGUACAAGUGAUACCCUAAUCGCAAUGAGGACACUGAACCCCCAGAUCUUGGUUCUCAAUAACAUGCUCCAUUGAAAAGAAUGAGGCCUGAUUCUGGAGCUGGUGCAGAAAAAUUACAAGAUGAUCCUGGAAUAUAUAUUGUUAAAAAUUAAGACAAUGUUGAAAGGAUAAUAAGGUCAUCCUGAAAGAUUAAAUUGUUGUCAGUUUGAGAAUUUAAAUAAUUAAUGGCAAAAUGGAUUACUACUCAUUGAAUCAAAGAGAAAAACAUGAGCCCAUAUUGUUAUAAAUACGUAAAUGCAUAUAUUGAAAGCUUAAUUAGAAACAUAGUUUCAAAAUAAACUCCCCUAAAAUACC
rnacentral:lncRNA from 1 species